rnacentral:rRNA from 1 species
AUUGAACGCUGGCGGAAUGCUUUACACAUGCAAGUCGAACGGUAGAGGGGGGCAACCCCUUGAGAGUGGCGAACGGGUGAGUAAUAUAUCGGAACGUGCCCAGUCGUGGGGAUAACGUAGCGAAAGUUACGCUAAUACCGCAUACGAUCUAAGGAUGAAAGCGGGGGACUCGCAAGAGCCUCGCGCGAUUGGAGCGGCCGAUAUCAGAUUAGGUAGUUGGUGGGGUAAAGGCUCACCAAGCCAACGAUCUGUAGCUGGUCUGAGAGGACGACCAGCCACACUGGGACUGAGACACGGCCCAGACUCCUACGGGAGGCAGCAGUGGGGAAUUUUGGACAAUGGGCGCAAGCCUGAUCCAGCAAUGCCGCGUGCAGGAUGAAGGCCUUCGGGUCGU